UCACGUACUUGCCACUGUAUCACUGCUCACCAAUGGUGGCCCCACAACUGUUCCUCGGUUGAUUAUGUUACAUUUGGUUGCCAUUCUUGGAAUGCUUUAAAAGGAUUAGUUACUCACUGGUUUGAUUCUUUCUCAGUUUUAGUUGUUGGGUUUUAAUUACUUUUCUCUAUUGGAACAAUGUCUCUCUGUCUCUUUUUUAUGGACUGCUUACUUUAUUCUCUCUUGGCCUCUUGCAAUUUUUUUUCUUGAGCUAUUAUUUGUUUUGAGUGAAAUGCAUUUUUAAUGUGAUGAUAUUGUCACUCUUUGUUUACCAAUGUUACAAUUCAGAAUUUCUUUAGGAAAUUUAUGAUCAGGUGUGUGUGUGUUUACCUGAAUUUCCUGUCUAUGCAUUCAAAUAACUCGUUUCAUUGUAGGAGAUUUUGACCAAAUUUUCCUGAAUUAGAUUAGGUAGGUGAUUAAUUUUUUAGGUGCUUUGUUCAUAUAGCGGCUAGGGCUUUUGAUGAUGCACAUGAUCUCUUAUAUUUUUGGCAGAUUGGAUGAUGAGAUAGAAACUCUGAACAGCAUAACAAUAGAUGCCACAACUUUGCAGCUCUUCCUACCUCCCCUACAUGUACAAGCCUUUUGCAGUUGUAGUUUGCAUAAGAAUGCUAAAUUGGGAGUUUGAUGUGUUGAAUGCCAGCUCAUGAAAUUUAGGAAAAACAUUCAGAACCUUUAUAUUGAACAGGGUUUUUCUGUGCUGACUUUGGGGCAAGGAAGAUAAUUUAUGUUAUGGAUGUCCUCAGUUUAUCUUUAAUGAGGUCAAGCAUCCUAUAUAGAAAUCCUGAAGUUCCUUUAAAACAAAAUUAUAUGUCAGGAAUUUUAGGCCUUGUCAGUUCUAGGUAAUGCAAAAUUGUGUUUAAAUGAGCAUAUGUAUUUGAGCAACAAGGAGUUGGUGUUUGUUCAUCAUUAAAAUCCCCUUUAAGUGAGACAA